CUGAAUUAAAGAGAGUUGAUGCUGGCAGUCUGACUGCAUGUGCUCGUUCUCCUAAUCCACUUACACCUGUGCACUUAAUUUCGAAGGGAGGGUAAAACCUGCCUUUGAAACUCACAAACUCUUAUUAAAAUAACGAAUGUUUAUCUGCCGCAAGGCAAAAUCAAAUA
rnacentral:misc_RNA from 1 species